GGCUUUUCGCAUCCCUACUCAAAUACUUCAUUUCCCUACUUUACAAAUCCCUAACCCUAUCACGUCUCUUGCAGCCUCUCUCUUAUCUCAUCUGGGCUUUCCAUGUCUCGUUCACUGAGAGGGCUUUUGCCUUCCAAUUUCUUUGCCACUCGCUGCUGGUUACCUCCCUCCUACCUCUUUAUCCCAUUUCUAUUAUUGGCUAUUGCUUUCAAUGCUGGUUACUCUUUUAUAUAUAAUAGACAGAGGGUCAUUUUGUUACUGUAGUGAACAAGAAUUUGAAACCUGCUAUCCCUGAUUAUUGUCCCCUUGCCAUGAGGGCGUUGAUUGAUCAUUGUUGGUCUGUGCAACCGGACAAGAGUCCCAAGUUUUGGCAGAUUGUGAAAGAUCAUGCAUUUGUGCCUAUUGUUGUCAUUAAUAACUCAGCACGAUAAUGCCUUUGGCGAUAGCCGUGAUACAAAGAAAGUUAACAUUCCUAGAUAUGCUAAACCGACAUGAAAGCUUCUGAUUUGGUUAGUGAAAUAUGCUCGAAAACACGAAAUAUCUCCGAGUGUUUGUAUGAAUUAAGAGGAGACGAGGGAAAAAACCUUAGCCAAAUAGCCCAAUCAUUAACUUUCGUAGCACGUGUUACGGCAUUUUUAGUGAAUGACAUAGCUCAAUUGUGUGAAAAACAAGUAAAAAAUUAUCUCCAGAAGGAGAGAUGUCGUUCGUGCGUGGAGAAUUAUGUUCGUAUCAUGGAAGAUCUUGUAGAUUGGAAGCAAUCUGUCGACUCUGGAAACUAUCAAAAUCUGCCAUCAAAAGCAGAUGCCAUGUCGAAAGAGGCUGAAUCAUGUGACAAAAACUUUGAACAGCCACCAAGUGAACCUCCACAACUCAUACUAGGCACAAAAACUUUUCUAGAUAUUUGUAGCAUCCUUGUGGUUGUUUCCUAUAAAUUAGCAGGUCGAAUUAUCUAAUUUUUAUUUAAUUUCGAAAGUAUAAUCUACAAAAUAAUGCUUAUCGUUGACCUCAAUUAAGGAAAAUUUUCUGCGUUAAUUACCAACUGCAAUAUGAAAGUUUUUUGCUUCUUUUCAUCA